GACGAACGCUGGCGGCGUGCUUAACACAUGCAAGUCGAACGGAAAGGCCCUGCUUUUGUGGGGUGCUCGAGUGGCGAACGGGUGAGUAACACGUGAGUAACCUGCCCUUGACUUUGGGAUAACUUCAGGAAACUGGGGCUAAUACCGGAUAGGAGCUCCUGCUGCAUGGUGGGGGUUGGAAAGUUUCGGCUGUUGGGGAUGGACUCGCGGCUUAUCAGCUUGUUGGUGGGGUAGUGGCUUACCAAGGCUUUGACGGGUAGCCGGCCUGAGAGGGUGACCGGCCACAGUGGGACUGAGAUACGGACCAGACUCCUACGGGAGGCAGCAGUGGGGAAUAUUGCACAAUGGGCGGAAGCCUGAUGCAGCAACGCCGCGUGCGGGAUGACGGCCUUCGGGGUGUAAACCGCUUUCGACUGUGACGAAGCGUGAGUGACGGUAAUGGGUAAAGAAGCACCGGCUAACUACGUG
rnacentral:rRNA from 1 species